GAUGAACGCUGGCGGCGUGCCUAAUACAUGCAAGUCGAACGCACAGCGAAAGGUGCUUGCACCUUUCAAGUGAGUGGCGAACGGGUGAGUAACACGUGGACAACCUGCCUCAAGGCUGGGGAUAACAUUUGGAAACAGAUGCUAAUACCGAAUAAAGCUCAGUGUCGCAUGACACAAAGUUAAAAGGCGCUUUGGCGUCACCUAGAGAUGGAUCCGCGGUGCAUUAGUUAGUUGGUGGGGUAAAGGCCUACCAAGACAAUGAUGCAUAGCCGAUGUGAGAGACUGAUCGGCCGCAUUGGGACUGAGACACGGCCCAAACUCCUACGGGAGGCUGCAGUAGGGAAUCUUCCACAAUGGGCGAAAGCCUGAUGGAGCAACGCCGCGUGUGUGAUGAAGGCUUUCGGGUCGUAAAGCACUGUUGUAUGGGAAGAACAGCUAGAAUAGGGAAUGAUUUUAGUUUGACGGUACCAUACCAGAAAGGGACGGCUAAAUACGUGCCAGCCGCCGCGGUAA
rnacentral:rRNA from 1 species